AUGCUAAUCCGACGGAUGUUGCCGUGCAAACGCAGGCCUCUCCAGAUGUGGGAGUUCAAUCCAGAGGGUCCGCAGACUAUUAAGCACUUCUUCGGCCUGAAGCUCGAAGGGAUGUGUAAAUUACUCUUCGGACCACAAGUAAAGUGUCCGGACACCAUCGAGGAUGCGGGCCUAAGCUGCAAUCGCCUAGAUGCCCAAGAAUGGCUCAGCAAGGCGGAGAGAAUCAGGUGUCUAGUGCCACUUCCCGAAGGCUCGCCUGGUCGAACCGUUGCCAAGAUGCUUGGCCGGGUGCUCAGCAAAAUGCCCUCAGGGAAAGGCGAAGGAAAGGAUAGUGAAGCCGAACUUCACACCCUCCGCAUCCAGACCGGGGGAAUUGCUUCCUCCCCAAGGGAGGAUGGUCGGGGAGGGGAAUCCGAGGCCACCUCCCCACGCGGGAAGAAAAGGGCCGCCUCCAAAGACUUGGAGACGGAGAUGCCCAAACAGGGGAAGAAGGUGUCGCCGGGGGGGCUCUGCCCCGACGGGCAUCCUCACCACGUCAUGCCCGCCAAUGGGCCAGCCCUCAACCGAGCUGCAAGUUAA
rnacentral:rRNA from 1 species